CGGAAAAUGCACGAGGAUUUGUUGUUGUUCGCGGUAAAAACUAGAGGGGAGAAUGAAGUCUUAAUAAAUGCAUUACCGAAAAAAAAUAAUCGUAUAUAAAUGUAAAUACAUAUGUAUACGAAAAUUAUAUUCAAUUUCCAAAUGUAAUGGUAUAAGUUAAGAGUGUUCGCAGUUAAGAAACACUACAUUUCUGAAAAAGAAGGCUCUUUUACAUAGAUACAAUUAUGGAAAAUGGAUGGCACUUUCCAACUUCAUAUGAGGAUUGGAUAAAAAAUGGUGUUGAAGAAGUUGCUGAAUCAGGAGAAAUAGAAAAUGUUCUUUUUGCUGAUGCACAUCAACCAAUUAUGUCUAAGGAAAUUGUUACAACGAAAAAGAAGAA
rnacentral:lncRNA from 1 species